AUUGUAUCCACGAUUGGGGAAUUUUCCGCAAUGGGCGAAAGCCUGACGGAGCAAUACCGCGUGAGGGAGGAAGGCUCUUGGGUCGUAAACCUCUUUUCUCAGGGAAGAACACAAUGACGGUACCUGAGGAAUAAGCAUCGGCUAACUCCGUGCCAGCAGCCGCGGUAAUACGGAGGAUGCAAGCGUUAUCCGGAAUGAUUGGGCGUAAAGCGUCCGUAGGUGGUUUUGCAAGUCGGCUGUCAAAGCCCGUGGCUCAACCACGGAAAGGCAGUGGAAACUAUAAAACUGGAGUGCAGUAGGGGCAGAGGGAAUUCCCAGUGUAGCGGUGAAAUGCGUAGAGAUUGGGAAGAACACCCGUGGCGAAAGCGCUCUGCUGGACUGCAACUGACACUAAGGGACGAAAGCUAGGGGAGCGAAUGGGAUUAGAUACCCAGUAGUCAAUCGUGGAUACAAU
rnacentral:rRNA from 1 species